GAUGAACGCUAGCGGCAGGCUUAAUACAUGCAAGUUGAACGGGAUAUAUUGUGGCAAUACGAUAUUGAGCGUAGCGCACGGGUGCGUAACACGUAUGCAACCUACCUAUAACAGGAGGAUAACCUUGAGAAAUUGAGGCUAAUAUUCCAUACCACUAUUAAGAGGCAUCUUUUGAUAGUGAAAGCGACAGUGGUUAUAGAUGGGCAUGCGGGACGUUAGCUAGUUGGUGAGGUAACGGCUCACCAAGGCUACGAUGGCUAGGGGUUCUGAGAGGAUUAUCCCCCACACAGGUACUGAGACACGGACCAGACUCCUACGGGAGGCAGCAGUAAGGAAGAUUGGUCAAUGGGCGGAAGCCUGAACCAGCCAUGCCGCGUGAAGGAAGACAGCCCUAUGGGUUUUAAACUUCUUUUGUACGGGAAAAAUCCACAGGUCGAGCAUCUGUGCUGAUUGUACCGUAAGAAUAAGCAUCGGCUAACUCCGUGCCAGCCGCCGCGGUAAAAC
rnacentral:rRNA from 1 species